ACGAACGCUGGCGGCAGGCCUAACACAUGCAAGUCGAGCGCCCCGCAAGGGGAGCGGCGGCCGGGUGAGUAACGCGUGGGAAUAUGCCCUUUGCUACGGAAUAGUCUCGGGAAACUGGGGGUAAUACCGUAUACGCCCUUUGGGGGAAAGAUUUAUCGGCGAAGGAUUAGCCCGCGUUGGAUUAGGUAGUUGGUGGGGUAAUGGCCUACCAAGCCGACGAUCCAUAGCUGGUUUGAGAGGAUGAUCAGCCACACUGGGACUGAGACACGGCCCAGACUCCUACGGGAGGCAGCAGUGGGGAAUCUUAGACAAUGGGGGCAACCCUGAUCUAGCCAUGCCGCGUGAGUGAUGAAGGCCUUAGGGUUGUAAAGCUCUUUCAGCUGGGAAGAUAAUGACGGUACCAGCAGAAGAAGCCCCGGCUAACUCCGUG
rnacentral:rRNA from 1 species